UGCUCGGCUGGUAUUCGAACCCAGGACUCUUGUAUGCUAGACGAGUGCUUUACCAACCGAGCCACUUGGUGACC
rnacentral:tRNA from 1 species